UACGUAGGUGGCAAGCGUUAUCCGGAAUUAUUGGGCGUAAAGCGCGCGCAGGUGGUUUCUUAAGUCUGAUGUGAAAGCCCACGGCUCAACCGUGGAGGGUCAUUGGAAACUGGGAGACUUGAGUGCAGAAGAGGAAAGUGGAAUUCCAUGUGUAGCGGUGAAAUGCGUAGAGAUAUGGAGGAACACCAGUGGCGAAGGCGGCACCCUGGCCUUGGCCUGACGCUCAGGGGCGAAAGCGUGGGGAGCGAACGGG
rnacentral:rRNA from 1 species